GGCCCUAUAGCUCAAUGGAUAGAGCAUUGGCCUUCUAAGCCAACUAUGAUGGUUCGAUUCCGUCUAGGGUCA
rnacentral:tRNA from 1 species